AACCUCCGCAAUGUGAGAAAUCGCGACGGGGGGAUCCCAAGUGCCAUUCUUAACGGGAUGGCUUUUCUUAAGUGUAAAAAGCUUUUGGAAUAAGAGCUGGGCAAGACCGGUGCCAGCCGCCGCGGUAACACCGGCAGCUCUAGUGGUAGCUGUUUUUAUUGGGCCUAAAGCGUUCGUAGCCGGUUUGAUAAGUCACUGGUGAAAUCCUGUAGCUUAACUGUGGGAAUUGCUGGUGAUACUGUUGAACUUGAGGUCGGGAGAGGUUAGCGGUACUCCCAGGGUAGAGGUGAAAUUCUGUAAUCCUGGGAGGACCACCUGUGGCGAAGGCGGCUAACUGGAACGAACCUGACGGUGAGGGACGAAAGCUAGGGGCGCGAACCGGAUUAGAUACCCGGGUAGUCCUAGCCGUAAACGAUGCGGACUUGGUGUUGGGAUGGCUUUGAGCCACUCCGGUACCGAAGGGAAGCUGUUAAGUCCGCCGCCUGGGAAGUACGGUCGCAAGACUGAAACUUAAAGGAAUU
rnacentral:rRNA from 1 species